rnacentral:rRNA from 1 species
UGCCAGCCGCCGCGGUAACGCGGGGGGCGCAAGCGUUAUUCGGAAUUAUUGGGCGUAAAGGGCGCGCAGGCGGUCUUGUCCGUCAGGUGUGAAAGCUCGGGGCUCAACCCCGGAAGUGCAUUCGAAACUGCGUAGCUAGAGUCCUGGAGAGGAAGGUGGAAUACUUGGUGUAGAGGUGAAAUUCGUAGAUAUCAAGUGGAACACCGGUGGCGAAGGCGGCCUUCUGGACAGUGACUGACGCUGAGGUGCGAAAGCGUGGGGAGCAAACAGGAUUAGAUA